CAAAGGAAUUGACGGGACCCGCACAAGCGGUGGAUGAUGUGGUUUAAUUCGAUGCAACGCGAAAACCUUACCCACCUUUGACAUGGCAGGAAUCCUAAAGAGAUUUGGAGUGCUCGAAAGAGAACCUGCACACAGGUGCUGCAUGGCUGUCGUCAGCUCGUGUCGUGAGAUGUUGGGUUAAGUCCCGCAACGAGCGCAACCCUUGCCAUUAGUUGCUACGAAAGGGCACUCUAAUGGGACUGCCGGUGACAAACCGGAGGAAGGUGGGGAUGACGUCAAGUCCUCAUGGCCCUUAUAGGUGGGGCUACACACGUCAUACAAUGGCCGGUACAGAGGGUAGCCAACCCGCGAGGGGGAGCCAAUCCCACAAAGCCGGUCGUAGUCCGGAUCGCAGUCUGCAACUCGACUGCGUGAAGUCGGAAUCGCUAGUAAUCGCGGAUCAGCAUGUCGCGGUGAAUACGUUCCCGGGUCUU
rnacentral:rRNA from 1 species